rnacentral:snoRNA from 1 species
AAACCGUGGUGUGGACAACAUCUCAGCAAAUCCUUGUACCUUUCUCAUGCAUCAUACAUGCUCUCAUCAUCAAACUACACAAAAGAAGAAAUAUCAUUAUGCAUCU